GCCAAAUUCAGCCCCGGCGGAGCAGCAUACACACACACACAAACACACACAAACACACAUUCAUGAUAGAGAGAGACGCUGGAGAGUUUUAACAGAGAGAGUGAAGUGAGGGGAUUCCGCAAGUACCUCAGGGGAAAAGCUUGAUAAUUCGUCUGCUCCUCUGGGUGGUGCUCAUGGUGGAGUGGGCCAGAAUCUGCUGUUGAGUCCUGCCAGUCUCCAGCUGGCUCAGCUUCAGGCCCAGCUCACACUGCACCGCCUCAAACUUGCCCAGACCACCAACACUGCCGCCGCAGCCACUGUCCUCAAUCAGGUCCUCUCCAAUGUGGCAAUGUCCCAGCCUCUCUUCAACCACCUUCGGGGUUCAAGCAUGGGUCAGUCCCAUGGCGGAGCCUUUCCACCUCCACCUAUAGCCUUCCCACCUCCGAAUGCUGCUCUGGGACAAAUGGUUGGUGGUGGCUUUACCCCAAAUCCCACUGGGAUCAGGCCCAGCACCUUCAGCGGAGUGUCCAUCCAGAAAUCUUGUCAACACAAUGACUUCAGCAAGAAAUCUGGAACAUACCCAGCAGAUAUGGACCGUCGCUUGCAGUUUGGAUAUCUGGGAGGAUCUUCUAAUAAAGUAUGUGAUGGGGGACAGUAUGGAGGAGCCAACACACAACCCAGAA
ensembl:processed_transcript